GUGAGGAAUAUUGGUCAAUGGACGCAAGUCUGAACCAGCCAUGCCGCGUGAAGGAUGACGGUCCUCUGGAUUGUAAACUUCUUUUAUCUGGGACGAAAACGGGAUUUUUAUCUCAAUUGACGGUACCAGAGGAAUAAGCACCGGCUAACUCCGUGCCAGCAGCCGCGGUAAUACGGAGGGUGCGAGCGUUAUCCGGAUUUACUGGGUGUAAAGGGUGCGUAGGUGGGCUUAUAAGUCAGUGGUGAAAUCUCCGAGCUUAACUUGGAAACUGCCGUCGAUACUAUAGGUCUUGAAUUAUCUGGAGGUAAGCUGAAUAUGUCAUGUAGCGGUGAAAUGCUUAGAUAUGACAUAGAACACCAAUUGCGAAGGCAGCUUACUACAUAUAAAUUGACGCUGAGGCACGAAAGCGUGGGGAUCAAACA
rnacentral:rRNA from 1 species